GCAGAUAUGGUCGAGUGCCUUAAGGCAAUGGUCUUAAGUUACACACUUUUAUCACCAUUAUCGAGACAUUCGUGGGUUCGAUUCCACUGUCUGCA